AGUCAGUCAUUACUGGGACAGUAUGGAGCUCAGUUCACUCUCUGUGACGCUCUUGCUGAUUGUGCUCAUCCACUGUGGACAAACUCAAGAUAAACCCAGACUGAGUGUGGAUCCUCAGAGCUCAGUCUAUACUGGAGACACAGUGAC